GCUCUCCUCUCCUGGACAUCAGUCCUAACCUGCCUCCAGGCUUUGGCAGAGCUCUCUCUGAGGCUUUGUUGUUCUAGCCAUGGAAUUCCAGAGUUUGGAAGUAGAUUCCUCCAGCUGCCAUUAAGGAAGGCACUUCGUUGAACAACUAAAAGAGUAAGAAAGGCAUUUGGAUUGGCAUAACAUCAGAAGAUAGCUUGGAACUCCCUUGCACUCCACAUCCGGAUGCCUCUGUCAUUAAUUAAUAUCUUGUCACUAAGUAUCCUUCAUUCAUGAACCAAUAUUGGCACAUGCUUAUUAA